rnacentral:rRNA from 1 species
UACGGGGGGGGGCAAGCGUUGUUCGGAAUUACUGGGCGUAAAGGGCUCGUAGGCGGCCAACUAAGUCAGACGUGAAAUCCCUCGGCUUAACCGGGGGAACUGCGUCUGAUACUGGAUGGCUUGAGUUUGGGAGAGGGAUGCGGGAAUUCCAGGUGAGCGGUGAAAUGCGUAGAUAUCUGGAGGAACACCGGUGGCGAAGGCGGCAUCCUGGACCAACACUGACGCUGAGUGAGCGAAAGCCAGGGGAGCCAAACGGG